AUGCUCUCUUUCAUACAUACUCUUUUAUAUUGGUAUGUCAAUGUCAAUAUAUCAUUGAAAUCAAAGAAGCAACAAAGCACCCACCAAAAUACUGAAUUAUAUUCUUUUUAUACAAUAUUUAUUUUAUUUAUAGAAAAUAGUUGGUGUAAAUGUCAAAUUUGUCACUCCAUAACUCAGGAUUCUGAUAUUUUCUUCAUACAACAUAUCUAUACACUCCUCUUUUUUGUAUGUAUUGUCAAACAUCUCUUGGGAAAUAUAUACAACAAACUGACAUUACAUUCCAACACUGCAGAACCAUUUACCUCAUUCCUCACUACUACUAUGCGUUUCUGUGUUUCUGAUAUGUGUUCAAUGUAUACAGAACUAUAG